rnacentral:rRNA from 1 species
UACAGAGACUGCAAGCGUUAUUCGGAUUCACUGGGCGUAAAGGGUGCGCAGGCGGCCAAGUGUGUGAGGCGUGAAAGCCCGGGGCUUAACCCCGGAAUUGCACCUCAAACUACUUGGCUAGAGCAUUGGAGAGGGUAGCAGAAUUCAUGGUGUAGCAGUGAAAUGCGUAGAUAUCAUGAGGAAUACCAGAGGCGAAGGCGGCUACCCUGGACAAUUGCUGACGCUCAGGCACGAAAGCGUGGGGAGCAAAAGGG